AGAGUUUGAUCCUGGCUCAGGACGAACGCUGGCGGCGUGCUUAACACAUGCAAGUCGAACGAUGAAGCCUUCGGGUGGAUUAGUGGCGAACGGGUGAGUAACACGUGGGCAAUCUGCCCUGCACUCUGGGACAAGCCCUGGAAACGGGGUCUAAUACCGGAUAAUACUGUGCCCCUCAUGGGGGACGGUUGAAAGCUCCGGCGGUGCAGGAUGAGCCCGCGGCCUAUCAGCUUGUUGGUGGGGUAAUGGCCUACCAAGGCGACGACGGGUAGCCGGCCUGAGAGGGCGACCGGCCACACUGGGACUGAGACACGGCCCAGACUCCUACGGGAGGCAGCAGUGGGGAAUAUUGCACAAUGGGCGAAAGCCUGAUGCAGCGACGCCGCGUGAGGGAUGACGGCCUUCGGGUUGUAAACCUCUUUCAGCAGGGAAGAAGCGAAAGUGA
rnacentral:rRNA from 1 species